UACGGAGGGUGCAAGCGUUAUCCGGAUUUACUGGGUUUAAAGGGUGCGUAGGCGGGCCUAUAAGUCAGUGGUGAAAUCUCCGGGCCUAACCCGGAAACUGCCAUUGAUACUAUGGGUCUUGAAUACAGUUGAGGUGGGCGGAAUGUGUCGUGUAGCGGUGAAAUGCUUAGAUAUGACACAGAACACCGAUUGCGAAGGCAGCUCGCUAAACUGUGAUUGACGCUGAGGCACGAAAGCGUGGGGAUCAAACAGGAUUAGAUACCCUGGUAGUCCACGCCCUAAACGAUGAUUACUCGAUCUGUGCGAUACACUGUACGGGUCUAUGCAAAAGCAUUAAGUAAUCCACCUGGGGAGUACGACCGCAAGGUUGAA
rnacentral:rRNA from 1 species